ACGCACGCUGGCGGCGUGCCUAAUACAUGCAAGUAGAACGCACAGUUUAUACCGUAGCUUGCUACACCAUAGCCUGUGAGUUGCGAACGGGUGAGUAACGCGUAGGUAACCUGCCUGGUAGCGGGGGAUAACUAUUGGAAACGAUAGCUAAUACCGCAUAAUAUUGAUUAUUGCAUGAUAAUUGAUUGAAAGAUGCUAUUGCAUCACUACCAGAUGGACCUGCGUUGUAUUAGCUAGUAGGUGAGGUAACGGCUCACCUAGGCGACGAUACAUAGCCGACCUGAGAGGGUGAUCGGCCACACUGGGACUGAGACACGGCCCAGACUCCUACGGGAGGCAGCAGUAGGGAAUCUUCGGCAAGGGACGAAAGUCUGACCGAGCAACGCCGCGGGAGGGAAGAAGGGUUUCGGAUCGUAAAGCUCGGUUGUAAGAGAAGAACGGGUGUGAGAGUGGAAAGUUCACACUGUGACGGUAUCUUACCAGAAAGGGACGGCUAACUACGUG
rnacentral:rRNA from 1 species